CGCUGGCGGCAUGCCUAACACAUGCAAGUCGAACGAGACCUUCGGGUCUAGUGGCGCACGGGUGCGUAACGCGUGGGAAUCUGCCCUUUGCUUCGGAAUAACAGUUAGAAAUGACUGCUAAUACCGGAUGAUGUCUUCGGACCAAAGAUUUAUCGGCAAAGGAUGAGCCCGCGUAGGAUUAGGUAGUUGGUGGGGUAAAGGCCUACCAAGCCGACGAUCCUUAGCUGGUCUGAGAGGAUGAUCAGCCACACUGGGACUGAGACACGGCCCAGACUCCUACGGGAGGCAGCAGUGGGGAAUAUUGGACAAUGGGCGCAAGCCUGAUCCAGCAAUGCCGCGUGAGUGAUGAAGGCCUUCGGGUCGUAAAGCUCUUUUACCAGGGAUGAUAAUGACAGUACCUGGAGAAUAAGCUCCGGCUAACUCCGUG
rnacentral:rRNA from 1 species